UAACUGUAUGUCAGAUGUGGUCCUUCUAGUGAAUAUUACUAUUUUCAUUUUUAUGAAGCUGCAUUGCUGUGGAUACAAAGGCUAUGAUGACUUCACACGUUCCGCUUUGGUAAAGUCGAACUCGUAUCCCAAACAAUGCUGCGGUGAAUAUACAAAAGCAACUUCAACAUGUAGUAAAGAACAAGCUGAGACAAAGAAAGUAAGGGGCUGCAUUCAUAUCCUGUUGAACGAAAGUUUUCCCAUUUCUGGAGCUUUGUCCUUUUUAAUCGGGAUUCUAGAGAUUGUUGCCUUGGUCGUUUCCCUGAAAGUCUACCGAUGCUUGAGACGCAUACCUAAUCUCCCCAACCCCUUUGAAAGUAAUCUGUGAUAAAGAACUUGCACACAUUUAUAAAAAGUUGUUUGUGUUUUAUUAUUGCUUUUGCAUUUAUUUACAGUGCCUUCAGAGUAAAAAAAAAAAAUCAUAUUUUGAUUAUGAAAGAUGAUGUGUGAAAAAAAAAAUUUCUUAAAAAUAUUACUUGAUUUCAGUUUUAUAAUGUCUAUCAAAUAUA